AUUUUCUUCACGCUUUAUUGACAUUUGUAUAAAUACAGCAGCAUGUUCCUGUAGAUGCAUUGUGACAUAUCGCUUGUUAAAAAAUAAAUCAUGAAGUACUUCGCUGUUCUGGUUUUAGCCAUCAUCUCCGUAACAUAUGUUAUGGCUGGUACCUACGUUCCAUGCAUAAAUAACGACGAUUGUAACCGCAUGUGUAAUCAAAUAUGCAACCCGUCUUCUGUGGAAGGAGUGUGUGCAUACAACGCAUGCUUCUGCAUGCUUGUUAGGAAUCUCCAAGGACGACAUCACGGAUAAAAUUUAAAAGCAUUAUGAUGAUAAAAUGCAUUUUGUGAGAUGUCACAAUAAAUGUAAAUGAUGAAAA